AAUGUGUUGGAGGUCCUGUGUUCGAAUCUCUAUGCGAGCGUGAGUGUUAAUUUUUAUUUUGGUUGUCUGAUAAAGGUUUGGUGGAACUGGAACUCUAAGGUUGUUGGAUGAGAAUCUGGUGUGGGUUUUAGUGGGGGGAGUCAGGAUUUUUGUUAAAUUUGAUUUUUUUUAUUUUCUUUUUAAUUUUUAUCUUUUCCCAAAAAAAAAAAAUUACUCUCCCCUUUCUGACUUUUUUUUGUUGGUGCAAUAACACACAACUGUGUCCUCAAACUAUACAACAGAGUGAUGUUGUGUAUGCUUGAGUCACACGACUAUGUCACCAGGCCGUGUAACUAAU
rnacentral:lncRNA from 1 species